CGCGGGGUAGAGCAGCUCGGUAGCUUGCCAGGCUCAUAAUCUGGAGGUCGUAGGUUCAAAUCCUACCCCCGCAACCA
rnacentral:tRNA from 1 species